AUUGAACGCUCGCGGCAGGCCUAACACAUGCACGUCGAACGAUUGGCGGACGGGUGAGUAAUUUCUGGGAAACUGCCCGAUGGAGGGGGAUAACUACUGGAAACGGUAGCUAAUACCGCAUACCAUCGGAUGUGCCCAUAUGGGAUUUGCUAUUAGGUGGGGUAAUGGCUCACCUAGGCAACGAUCCCUAGCUGGUCUGAAAGGAUGACCGGCCACUCGGGAACCGAGACACGGUCCAGCCUCCUACGGGAGGCAGCGGUGGGGAAUAUUGCACAAUGGGCGCAAGCCUGAUGCAGACAUGCCGGGUGUAUGAAGGAGGCCUUCGGGUUGUAAAGUACUUUCAGCGAGGAGGCGUUACCCGCAGAAGAAGCACCGGCUAACUCCGUGCCAGCAGCCGCGGUAAUAC
rnacentral:rRNA from 1 species